GCACAUCAGCACUUCGGGCUUCGGGUAAGUGUAGGGUUAGGGUUAUGUGUAGGGUUAUGGGUAGGGUCAGGGGUAGGGAUAGGGGUAGGGUUAGGUUAGGGUUAGGAGUAGGGGUAGGGUACCACUACCCUAACCCUACCCCUUACCCUACUCCAACCACUAACCCUAACCCUACCCCUACUCCUAACCCUAACCUAACCCUACCCCUAUCCCUACCCCUGACCCUACCCAUAACCCUACACAUAACCCUAACCCUACACAUAAC